rnacentral:rRNA from 1 species
GACGAACGCUGGCGGCGUGCUUAACACAUGCAAGUCGAGCGGUAAGGCCCUUUCGGGGGUACACGAGCGGCGAACGGGUGAGUAACACGUGGGUGACCUGCCCUCAGCUCUGGGAUAAGCCUGGGAAACCGGGUCCAAUACCGGAUAUGACUCCAUGACGCAUGUUGUGGGGUGGAAAGCCUUGUGCGGCUGAGGAUGGGCCCGCGGCCUAUCAGCUUGUUGGUGGGGUGANGGCCUACCAAGGCGACGACGGGUAGCCGGCCUGAGAGGGCGACCGGCCACACUGGGACUGAGACACGGCCCAGACUCCUACGGGAGGCAGCAGUGGGGAAUCUUGCGCAAUGGGCGAAAGCCUGACGCAGCGACGCCGCGUGAGGGAUGACGGCCUGG